CCAAGGAGUCUACCGUGUGCGCGAGUCACGGGGCGUCUCAAACCCCAAGGCGAAAUGAAAGUGAAGGCGGUGCCGAGGAGGUUGGAGCAAUCCUUCUCCUUCGAGCUCGUCUGGGGCAGGAUCCCACAACGUUUGCUUGUGGGCACACUGCCGGCCCGUCUCAGCUGCAGCAGCCGACAGCGAAGGCGGAGCAAGAGCGCACACUGUGAUACCCGAAAGAUGGUUAACCAUGCCCGAGUCGGAUGAAGCCGGGGGAAACCCUGGUGGAGUUCCGUAGCG
rnacentral:rRNA from 1 species